ensembl:lncRNA
CCUGCACUAGCAUGAGGUGCUGGGGAUCCAAGCUUCUUAAAGCAUGUUUUUCUAACAGGAAGAAGAAAUGAAAAUCAAGAAAAAUGGCAUUUUUAAGGAAGGAGAUUGAAGAAUGAUCGGCCACAACUGUGGGUACUCAGAAUACACCUUGGAGAAAACUCAGAAAAACGUGAAACAAUUGUAUCUAUGCCUCAAGCUGGCAGGAGGAAGAACAGGUUGGAUACAACAGGGAGAGAGCGCGGGAGUUCCUCCCCAGACCUGCACUCCUACAUGUGGCCAUGCGGUGGCACAGGAGACCAGGGAUCGGCAGAGCCUGCUGCUUCUGGGGCGGGACUCGGCUGCCAGGGCGGGAGGGUGGCCGGUGAGUCCCGGGUGCCAUGAGGGCUGUGAGGCUGGCAGGUGAGUGCCCGGGUGCCAUGAGGGGUAUGAGGCUGGC